ACGUUCAUCCUCUAGUUCGCUCUCGUUGCAGCCCUCGUCUAAAAGGCAAACUCGUGUCUGAAAAAAGUCGCGAAAAGGAAAGGUCGGAAAAAAAGGAAGCAGAAGGAAGGAAGGAAGGAAGGAAGGAAGGAAGGAAGAAAAGGCAAAGCUCGUAGAAAUCACUGACGAAAUCACUCUUGCACGAAGCAUUGGGCUAUGAAUGAAGACCCAACCCUUUCAUCUCGAGGUUUUGGCAGUUUUGCUAUUGUCAGUAAUACCCUGGCCAGGUCCAAGUGUUUUUAAGAUAUCAUGCCCCCGCGAUCGUGCUUCGGUAGUGAGGAGGAUAGUUCACAAGAGAUGGAUGCCCAUCCUAAAGAAAUAUCAAGUGGAGUUACCCUUAGAAUGUCCCUUUCACGAAAGUCGAGACAUCUUUCGACCUCAGCAACGGGCAAAGCAUCAGUACAGACCGUCGCAAUGGACCUGCGGCCUUUGCGGCAAGUCUUUUUAUGCCGAAAGACAUCUCGACGCGCACUUCGAUAACAGACACAAAAGUAACGUUAAUACGGCGGAGGACGCCGUGUGCCUUGCCGACUACUGCGACAUUAUGAGAUGCGACGUCUUGGGAAAUCGUGACUUUGAAAGUUCGAUGGACGAUGAGGACGAUGACGGCGGUCAUCUCAACACCGACAUACAGGUAUGGAAGGAGAAUACGGAACAGCGCAGUACGUCGGUCGUACCGUGUUCUCGAGAUCUCGCAAGGACAUAUCGUCCUUCCUCUUCAUCUUCCACGGACAAGUCGUGCGCGCUCGCGGCCACGAAGAACGAUUUACAGCGUUCGUACUGUCGACGAGCCGACGCGGAUGUCCUUAAAAAUCAUCGGCUCGCCGAUUCCUCCUCUUAUCGUCGCAACGAAAUAGCUGGUCCUGAGAACAAUAGCGACGCUUGCGACAAUGACGACGAGGACGACGAGGAUGACGAGGAAGAGGAGAAAGAGCAGGAGGAGGAGGAAGAGGAGGAGGAGGAGGAGGAGGAGGAGGAGGAAGAGGAGGAGGAGGACGACGACGACGACGACGACGAUGACGAGGAGAAUCUGGUAGAAGCCGCUCUACCUGCCGUCGAUAAAAGGCAAAGACGCAGAAGAAUACAUCUUAGGAAACUCAAGUCCAACUGCAAGCCUGAGGAACUUCAAAAGCUCAAGUUACAAUGUGAAAUACUCGUCCGCGAUUGUAUCGCUGGACUUCUCGCAAAUCUCUCGGUUCGAGAAUUCCAAGAAAUCGAAGGUGAACUGAACCGGGCGAUCUGUUGGUAUUUGAGUUGCGAUAGAUACUGGGAAGAUACCAAACGGCAACAACGCCAGACACCUUGGUAUCUGCUCGCUACGUUUAUGGCUCUUUUCUGCACCUCGAUUUAUGCCUGCUAUUACGUCAUCUGGGUUCUCUUCAAGUAUGUAUACCACGGACGAGGAGAGGCUCGAUCAUACGGGAACUUUAGGUUACAACGAUGGAAGUCUUACGGGUGCCUCAUCGUUGCACGAUCAGAGCGGUCAUGGCGAUGGUAGAUCAGUAGAUAAACGAAAAAUGGAAGGAGGAGACGAUAAUUUGGUAUCUACGAACGAAGAAAUGCCCGAUCACUACAUAUACGUCGCAUAUCCACCGGAACUGAAACGUCGUCUCUUGGAAAGCUGCUACAACAGGACUACCAGACUAUGAGACUGAAACGAAAGAAGACGAUCGUUUCGUAUUCAUCUUGAACAGGACUGCGCUGCGAAUGAAGGCACUCUUUUCUCUCUCUCUCUCUCUACCUCUCUCUCUCUCUCUCUCUCUCUCUCUCUCUCUCUCUCUCUCUCUCUCUCUCUGUCUCACUCUGUCUGUCUGUCUUCGUGUUUUGUAUACCAAAUCUAUUCGAAUAAAUUGCAAGGUACGAGAGGAAUCUUCCAUCGUAGAAACAACCGAAAGAGUUAUAGCAAAAA